rnacentral:rRNA from 1 species
AGGCAGCAGUGGGGAAUAUUGCACAAUGGGCGCAAGCCUGAUGCAGCCAUGCCGCGUGUAUGAAGAAGGCCUUCGGGUUGUAAAGUACUUUCAGCAGUGAGGAAGGUGGAUAUGUUAAUAGCAUAUUCAUUUGACGUUAGCUGCAGAAGAAGCACCGGCUAACUCCGUGCCAGCAGCCGCGGUAAUACGGAGGGUGCGAGCGUUAAUCGGAAUUACUGGGCGUAAAGCGCAUGCAGGUGGUUUGUUAAGUCAGAUGUGAAAGCCCGGGGCUCAACCUCGGAAUUGCAUUUGAAACUGGCAAACUAGAGUACUGUAGAGGGGGUAGAAUUUCAGGUGUAGCGGUGAAAUGCGUAGAGAUCUGAAGGAAUACCGGUGGCGAAGGCGGCCCCCUGGACAGAUACUGACACUCAGAUGCGAAAGCGUGGGGAGCAAACAGGAUUAGAUCCCCUGGUAG